GGAGGGGACACCCAGGUGACACUUGAGGGGUUUGGGGACACCCAGGUGACAUUGGAGGGACAAUGGGGACACCCAGGUGACAUUGGGGACAAUGGGGACACCCAGGUGACAUUGGAGGGACAAUGGGGACACCC